UCUCUCUCUCUUUCUCAAAAUGGACAGUUCACAGAGCACACCUGAUAACAAAGAGCUGGGCCAUACCUCCUCAGGUGGCUCCUGGGUCCUGGUGUACUGUGAACUAGAGAAGUCAAGCUCUCCAGAGCCUUUUGUAGCCGCAGUCCUUCCCUGGGCCAAGAUGAGAAAAUCGAAGCUAGCCAAGGUUAAAUCCUGUCUAUGAUUAUAUUGUUAAUGAGCAGAAGCAAAGUUUGAAAAGUGUGACGCCUGACAGAAGUCUCAGCUUCCCUAUCACGCUCUGCACAGUGUCUAUCAGAUGGUAGAAAUCUUUUACAAUGAGGAUUUACUGGCGUGAUUCUGUGUGAGCAGCAACAAUAAUCAUCAACAGAGAAAAAUACAGCCCAGCAUUUGCUUUCUCUGAGGCAAAUCAAUUAGACACUCAUAGGAGCCCUACAAGCGGUUGCUAGGCAACAAGCCAUCUCAGCAUCCUCCUUGGGUGAACAAUGAGGAGGAAGGACUCAUGGUUCAGUUCAGGGAAUUCGUCCUGGUAGCUGUCACUCAUCUUCAGAUCUGAAGCUGAGGAUGAGCACAGAAGAACUGAACACCAGGAGCAGUGCUUACAACAGGCUCGCUCACGGUCCUCUCCGCACGGUCAACAGGCUCGCUCACGGUCCUCUCCGCACGGUCAACAGGCUCGCUCAUGGUCCUCUCCGCACGGUCAACAGGCUCGUUCACGGUCCGCUCCGCACGGUCAACAGGCUCGUUCAUGCUCCUCUCCGCACGGUCCCCAAUGUGAUUGCUGUGUUUCAUUGUGUUCCCUUCCUGGAGGUGACAUCACAUUGCUUAGGGGAAAUUUCAUGGGGUGAAUGGUCGAGCCAUAGAACUCUGGCCAACGCUGCUGCUCCCUGGAUGGGGACCUAGCAGUGGAGCCAUAGAACUCUGGCCAAUGUUGCUGCUCCCUGGAUUGGGACCUAGCGGUGGAGCCAUAGAACUCGGGCCAACACUGCUGUUCCCUGUGUUGGGUCCUAGCGGUAGAGCCAUAGAACUCGGGCCAACGCUGCUGCUCCGUGGAUUGGGACCUACAGUUCACAUACCAUUUACAUCUUGCACUGCCAGAGUAAUGAUCAUUUCCUUUUUCAAAGGGUUAGGAAGGCAUUGGGCCAAGGUCCAUGUGUUCCUGUGGCCGCAGUGGAAGUAGACAGAAGGUCGGAUUUAAACUCAGAAGGCUUGUCCUCUAUGGUCUAGCUAUCGAACCUUGAGCAGGUCAUCGGUCCAUUUAACUGGAUACCAUUUUCUCAUUUGUAAAAAUGACACAGCCAGACUGAGAGAGUUCAGUAAGUUGACUUCUUCUGUUGCCAUCUGGGACUGACAGUAUUUCCAGUGAAUAAAAGGCAAAUUCUCUGCUUUCAUUUCACUAUAAAGAAAUGAGAAAAACAAUAAAUAGAUUUAAGUAA